AAGUUUAGAAGAUGUUAAAUAUUCUUUUAAGUUCUUGUGUUUCUGGUAUGCAAUAAUGGGUGAUUUCAUCACGAGACUUGAUGUGUCUGUUUUUCAUACACAUUAUCUUAAGGUUCUCAUGUUAAUCUGUUUACGUUUAGUAGUAAGUUCAAAUUGACCUGUUAGCAGGCAAUAUAAUGAAUAAGUGGAUUUUGUAUUACUGAUCACUGUCUCUGUUGGAGAGAUAAGUGUUGCAGUAUUUGUUACAAUAAUAAAACUCUAUUGAA
rnacentral:lncRNA from 1 species